UACGUAGAUGAUGAGGUAAGUCAGAUGUGAAAGCUCGGAGCUCAACUCCGAAAUGGCAUUGGAAACUACCUUGCUCGAGGGUUGGAGGGGGGACGUGGAAUACUUGGUGUAGCAGUGAAAUGCGUAGAUAUCAAGUGGAACACCAGUGGCGAAAGCGAGUCCCUGGACAACUCCUGACACUGAGGCACGAAAGCUAGAAAACAACA
rnacentral:rRNA from 1 species